rnacentral:misc_RNA from 1 species
UUGGAGAUAGAAAUGGUGUUAAUUGCCAUUGAAUUAUUUAAUCACUAGUCCAAGAUCCUGUAUACAGUUUCCAUACACAAUUUCUCUGUUUGCAAAAUGAAAGAUGAGAUAAGAAUCUAGUGAAGUUAAUAGAGUUUGAAUGUUCCUGCAAAGCUUCAAGUCUUCUCAUGGAGGGUCGUUAAUAACGCUCUGGUUUCUCAAGCAAAAUUGUGCAGCAGGCAGAUGGUUUCUUCUCCCAUUUGCCAGAUUAACUUUGCUUUUGAAGAAACCAUAGAGCAUAUUUUGUUUCAGCAUCCUCAUUUGCUUCUGACUUUCGCUAUUUUGCUGACCAGAGUUGUCCAUAUGAAAUAAUGGACCAGAGUUGUCAUUGGCAAUAAGAUUUCAAACCUUUAGAUAUAAAUUUAAGCAAAUACAUAAAUAUGAUUGAUCAAGUUCCAGUUCACAAGUCCAACUCAUUUGUGCAUUUUAAUUGCCUAGAUGAAGUGGAGCACCAGUGCCCAUACUGGAUAAACAAACAGCAGAAUAAUGCCAACAGUGUUUGAUAUUCCAUGGAGUUGUGUGAAAGAGUUUCUGAAUCCACCAGAUGCCCUGAUGUGCUCUUGCAGCAAGUAACAACCAAUGAUGAGGCAUAUCAAGACACCAACCCAGCUGUUCUUCAACGUGUGUGCAAAGAAGCUGGGAGCCACAACCAGAAGAAGAAUCAAUGAUCCUGGCAUCUCCAGCCAAUCUGGGAAGUGACGAGGAAAGAAAAGCCUAAGCACCACUGCAAUGAAAGCAAUCCAUUUUCCAACCUCGCCUCUGAACAAUUUAAGAUAAAGAUGUCAAGAAAUAAAGUUCAGCAGAAGAUAAAUGCAAAAUGAAAGAGCUCAAUAAAUUAAUUAUCAUAGGCGGUUGUGACCUGAAGAAGUUGAAUAUUACUGAAGGGAGACUAAGGAAAAUAUAAGGUACUAAGAGUGAAGUAAGAAUGUUUGUUCUCCAGUUUGUUCGAUCCAAUAUCAGCAAAUAUAUGGCAGCAAAAGAAGCAACCCAUUUGAGAAAAGAAGUACCAAAGCCGAGGCCACCAAGCCUAGUGGCAUCAUUUAGGAGUCGCUUGGCAGCAACGUUGAGCUCAUUGAGAUCAGACUGAAUCAAAUCGGUUUUUACUAGAUCAGUACUCAUUUUCAAGUACUCCAUCCUCCCCAUAUCUUUUCCUUUCACUUUUCUCUUUCUUUCCCCGCAAAUCAGAUCUAAAACGCAAGAAUUGGACAGUAUAAAUGAAUGCAAGAAACUGCAGCAGAGUGGGAUCAAAGGAUAAAUGCCUUUUCGAACAGCUCUAGCUGGAGGAUAAUCCCCUGGUUUGCUAGUGUGACUGUGAGAUGGGACCUUAUUUUCAGCGAUGUUAAAAC